rnacentral:rRNA from 1 species
AACGAACGCUGGCGGCAGGCUUAACACAUGCAAGUCGAACGCCCCGCAAGGGGAGUGGCGCACGGGUGAGUAACGCGUGGGAAUAUGCCCUUCGGUUCGGAAUAACACAGGGAAACUUGUGCUAAUACCGGAUACGAUCUACGGAUGAAAGAUUUAUCGCCGAGGGAGUAGCCCGCGUAGGAUUAGCUAGUUGGUGAGGUAAUGGCUCACCAAGGCGACGAUCCUUAGCUGGUCUGAGAGGAUGAUCAGCCACACUGGGACUGAGACACGGCCCAGACUCCUACGGGAGGCAGCAGUGGGGAAUAUUGGACAAUGGGCGAAAGCCUGAUCCAGCCAUGCCGCGUGAGUGAUGAAGGCCUUAGGGUUGUAAAGCUCUUUCGCCAGGGAAGAUAAUGACGGUACCUGGAAAAGAAGCCUCGGCUAACUCCGUGCCAGCCGCCGCCGUAAUAC